GUCAACAACCCCUGAGCUAAAGACUCAGGGGCUUGCAAGGCAACUUGUAAGCCCGGUUGAUUAGCCUAAGCCCCAGAAAACUUGGUGGCUACGUUACAUUGGAAUAUAUAGUCAUCCCAAGGCACUCCACACGCCGAAGGCUCUGAG
rnacentral:sRNA from 21 species